rnacentral:rRNA from 1 species
AUGAACUAUCACAUGAAUUUUCCUGGCUCUGGUGGUCGCGCUGCCCAGGACGCCGGCGGCGGAGACGAAGGCAAUUUGUACUGGGACGUCGUGGCCGAGCUGCAGGACCUCCGCCUUGACGAGCUGCUGGACCUAGGCUUCGACGAGACGCCGGACCUCGGCCUCCCUCUGGUUUUCAUGCUGGAACAGUUUUGUAGAGACAAAUUGGAAGAGUGCAGCUGCCCUGGCUCAUGGAAUUGGAAGAAUUUAUGCUUUUUUCUACUCAGAAAGGAAGCUAUUUUUUUCUGGAUCGUAGAUAGAAAGGAUGCAACUUUGUCAGGGGUAGUAGAUACAAAGUUCAGUGUCUACAGCAUAUAA